rnacentral:lncRNA from 1 species
GCAGGUUGCUUCCACGCUGUCAUUCUCUGAAGUUCUGCCUGUGCAUAACACUCAGAACGACAGGCGGAUGCAUAUUAGGGACUUUAAUUUGUGGCUUGGUGAAUGGUGUCGGGAGCAAGGAUUUGGCUUUAUUUCUCAUGGUAGCUCUGUUUGGAAUGGAGAUAAGCUGUACAAAAAAGAUGGUUUGCAUCUUUCUCAAAAGGGUACAAAUGUUC